rnacentral:rRNA from 1 species
ACGAACGCUGGCGGCGUGCUUAACACCUGCAAGUCGCACGGAAAGGCCCUGCUUUUGUGGGGUGCUCGAGUGGCGAACGGGUGAGUGACACGUGAGUAACCUGCCCUUGACUUUGGGAUAACUUCAGGAAACUGGGGCUAAUACCGGAUAGGAGCUCCUGCUGCAUGGUGGGGGUUGGAAAGUUUCGGCGGUUGGGGAUGGACUCGCGGCUUAUCAGCUUGUUGGUGGGGUAGUGGCUUACCAAGGCUUUGACGGGUAGCCGGCCUGAGAGGGUGACCGGCCACAUUGGGACUGAGAUACGGCCCAGACUCCUACGGGAGGCAGCAGUGGGGAAUAUUGCACAAUGGGCGGAAGCCUGAUGCAGCAACGCCGCGUGCGGGAUGACGGCCUUCGGGUUGUAAACCGCUUUCGCCUGUGGCGAAGCGUGAGUGACGGUAAUGGGUAAAGAAGCACCGGCUAACUACGUG